rnacentral:rRNA from 1 species
GUCCUAGCCUUAAACGAUGCAUACUAGGUGUAGGUGGGCUCAACCCCAUCUGUAUCGGAGCUAACGCGUUAAGUAUGCCGCCUGGGGAGUACGCUCGCAAGGGUGAAACUCAAAAGAAUUGACGGGGGCCCCGCACAAGCAGUGGAGCAUGUGGUUUAAUUCGAUGCAACGCGAAGAACCUUACCUGGGCUCGAAAUGUAGAGGACGAUCACAGAGAUGUGGUUUCUCGAAAGGGUCUCUAUAUAGGUGCUGCAUGGCUGUCGU